rnacentral:rRNA from 1 species
CAGUCGCCACGGGAAUACGAAGGGUGCAAGCGUUACUCGGAAUUACUGGGCGUAAAGCGUGCGUAGGUGGUGGUUUAAGUCCGUUGUGAAAGCCCUGGGCUCAACCUGGGAAUUGCAGUGGAUACUGGAUCACUAGAGUGCGGUAGAGGAUAGUGGAAUUUCCGGUGUAGCAGUGAAAUGCGUAGAGAUCGGAAGGAACAUCUGUGGCGAAGGCGACUAUCUGGGCCAACACUGACACUGAGGCACGAAAGCGUGGGAGCAAACAGGAUUAGAUACCCCUGUAGUCCCUGUCUCUUAUACA